GGAAGGCCUGUGAGGGAACGAAGGCUUCCGUGCUGUGGUCUUGGAAGCGGCUAGUUAUUGUUUAUAAUGGGGUUCUUUCUUGGUGGCAUCCCCUGGUAUAUUGGAACUUUUAUUUUACUUUGUGUGAGGGUGGACUACAGAGAAAAACUUGGAUAUGUUGCAUGCACAUUAGCAUCAAUUAUUGCAGUGCUAGCUAUCACUCUUGGUGUUACAAAGCGAACUCACAACUGGUGAGGAUAAUAUGGACAACAAGCUUGAUUCUCUGUUUGUACCUAGAAUAGAAGCAGUUGGAUGGCUAUUGUUAAAUUAUACAUAUUGGUUUUUCUGUUGUUGCAAAUUCUUGACAGAGUAUUGGGUGUUUUGUAUCUAUAAAUAUGGUUUUCUGUUUCUCCAAA